rnacentral:misc_RNA from 1 species
UCCGUACGCAAGCUUUAUAGGAGAAUCAUUUUUAGCAAGUCUUCACUGUCGUGGGAGAAGUGGUCUAAGCCAUAGUCUAGAACCACUCCAACCUUUUUCAUCAGCCUGUUUUCGUUUUAGAUUCUCACGACAGUGAUUUAUAGAUAAGUUUUAAAAAAACACUUAAAAUGAAGCUCUCUCCUGUCUGGAACAACUAUGCGUAUUUGAAGAAUCCGCAGACUUUUCAACAAGUUGCAGUUCAAAAUGCCCUUGACGAGGCUGAAGAGAGGAGCACAAGGGGCCACUCCGUUCUGCGCAGAGGGACGUUCGGUGCCUACCCUAGACGUGUGUACAGCGACGCCUUUGCCCCUGAGUAUAUACCACGCAGGCUUGGAUACGAGAGCACAUCAGAGGAGUACGCUCUUGGCAGUGCCGUCACUAACGCCACAUCAUAUUCUGACGCUUCCCUGUACGACACUUACGACACUGCCAACAGGUCACGAGGGCGGGACCAGACUCUUCUGCAAAACGCCACAGCAGCCAUCCCCCCGUCGACAAACUCGCCGCUGAUGGCCUCGCCUAGCCGGACAGCCAGCGCCCUUCCCGGGAGGCGUUUUCUAUCACGACCUAUCACUCGUUCCUUCUCCCCCGACAUUGAUGACACGCCGGUGUCAUCCAGUAAGACAAGUUACUCACUCCCCACCUCACACCUUCAAGCCAGCGCACCUCCUCGACCAAAUGUAACUCCCACCGUCAGUAAAUACGCCAGGAACAGUAGUUUAGGCAACACCGCCAGUAGGAUAGCCUCUCUCAAAAGCACUUAUGAUAGCAGUUCUUCCGGUGUGUUGCCAGACAGUUCAUCCACUCGGCUUCUAGGAGGGUACAUUCCUCGCACUUUGUACCGUUCUGGAUCUCCCUUAGGUAGUGGGACGACGACUCCCCUUUAUCAAUCGCCAUAUCUAGGCUCGAAGAGGCCUACCUACAAAUUAGCAUUUGAUAGUGGAUCUACCACUCCCACAUACAGACCAUCAGCAUAUACAGAGACCACAAAGCUGCUCGGAGGGUAUGUGUCACCCAGAUUUGCCUACAGGACAGUCAGUGUGUCGCCAUAUGCUAGUGGCACACAGUCUCCCGUGUACCCGUCCUACAGUUCCCGACCUGGAACACGGCUACUAAGUGGGUACAUCCCUUCCAGACGCCUGACAUUGUCGCCAUCAGUGUCACCGUAUGCUAGCGGCACGCAGACCCCCGUCACAUACACAGCUGGGACCCCUCUGACUACAUAUGACAAUUAUUAUGUGAAUGAACCUGAUUACCCAGAACUGACCACCACGAGACGUCGGCCAAAGGUCUUGGGGACCAAGAUACGAGUUGGUAACUAUAUGGACAGACUUAGAAGAAAGCGGGCAGGGCAAAGGGGAUCAUCAAAGUACUGGCCUUACUAUGACGUAGACGACAUCACGUCAGAGGCAGGGGAUGUCCUCAGUGAGACGGAAUCUAUACCAGAUUACUAUGGUACAGCCAAUGCUACCCACUGGGACGAUGAAGAAGCUGCUGGGGGAAGGUACAUAAGUUACCUGGAUAAUGGGGAUGACAGUUACAUGGACGAGCCUGAUGAGUAUGUACCCUUCAAACCGAGAAGAAGGCUUGAAUCUCCCGGAGUUCUAGAACUAGCCCCCUAUGAGAACACCCCUCCUGCACCAGAGCUCCCACUUGUAUCCACACUCCCAUAUCUUCCCAAAAUCAGCUCAGAUAUUGGUUCAAAGGGAAGUGAUUUGUAUUUGAAUUCCAUUGUGUCAUCAUCCGCUGCUCGUGCAAGGACCGCUUUCAAAAACAAUGGCUUUGGCAACUAUGAUAAUGCUAGCUUAGUGCUAAGCGUGGAAGGAGAUGUGGUGUCCCCCAAUACCGGCGGCCGAUAUGGAUUUAAAUACUACCACCCACCAGUCCCACUUGUAGGCAGAGGAUUGGGAACAAGCGUACUUGGCCUUCCCUCGCCAAGUUCCUCGAUAGUGGACAGUUUCUUUGGGACCUAUGUGAACAAGCUGCGAGAUAUUCGUGCCGAUUUCCGCAGCAGACUUGAUAGUAGGGUUUCACCUAGAACGGUACCAUCUGCAUACAGAGAGAUUGGAACUUACACUCCUAGCAAGCCGACAGAUAACUUCCUCCCGUACACAUCCUUCAGAAAACGCCUUCAGGGGGGCACAACACAACGUGUUGACGUCAUUGAGCUUCCUGUCAGCGAGCGUGUGUUGCCCUCGGAGACGCUGUCUCUCACUUUACCUGAAACGGCAUCUGCGAAUGACAAGGACAAACGUGACAGUUAUAAGCUUACUGUUCUUGAUAAGAUCAAAAUCAAGGCGGCAAUUGUUGCAAGCAAAGUUGAAGUUGAGCCCAGGAGGAAAAGGCCACGUUCUAAGUUCGCCGCAGACAAAUUGCGAACCACUCGUGCAAGAGGCGAGGUAAAAACCCGUCCAUUUGUAAGUGUGACCUUGGACGCCGGCGACCUUGGAGCCGAAAGUUACCUCAAUUAGAACUGAGGGAAAGUCCAAACAAACUGGAUCAAAGUUUAGAUCUCCCUCAAUUGAGACGGUCGUUGUUUCUGCAGGAAAGUGUGUACCCCCAGGUGACCUCUGGACUCUCCGCCUCUAGACCACCACUGCGCACCCCGAGGGCAAUG